GUGAAUAUUUGUUUUUCCAACCACUUACAUUGGUCGGCCAUGAUAAAAUAAAGUGUUUUUUUAAUCAAUUUAUUAAGUAAUUACACUUGCAUUAGGAACAGAAUUUACUCUUGGUGAUUUUCACCAUUUAAACCAGUAGAAGAGCCUUAGCCAGUUUCAUAUUACUUGUACAAUUAUUGGAAAAGUAAAAGGGAAUUUGACCAUAAUUCCAACCUUUUACAUUGAUUUCUUUCCGUUAGCAUAAGAGAAACCCAUUCUCAUAUAACUCCAUAUAUAGUCAUCUCUCUCAAUACUACGACCUAUAUUGUAAUGGAUAACGAGUUGACACAGUUUGAGAUAGAGGCGAUUUUGGGACCUGACUCCGAGCCAUUUGAAACCUUUAUCACCAAUCUCCCUCUUUCGGAGCUUAAGUCAAUGGCGGACAUGAUGAAGCAGAAGGAUCUGAACGCCCUUGUUCUUAAAAUUGUUAAUUUUCUCAGCUCCUUCCAUGUCGACAUUGAUUCUCGUGAGAAGUGUGCUGAACGCCUUUCCAACUUACUUAAUGAUGAUGAUGAUUUAUGCACUUGACGCAAUCUAAGCAUCUCCACUCAAUCUGCCAUCAAAUCUUUCCUUCUUAAUCCUAUCAUAAAUUUGGAAGAAUCAAAAUUCAUCAUCAAAGUGCGCUGUGAUAACAUUUACAGGUUGGCUGCUUCACUUCUCCCAGACAGCAGCUGGCCUGAAUUAUUGCCAUUCUUGUACCAAUGCCUCACUGAUUCAAACAAUUACUUCAAAGCGUCAGCUUUCUUAAUAUUUGCUGACCUAGCUUGGAAAAUAGGUGAAACAAUAGCAGUCCCUUCCGCAAAGACCUUGCACUCAUUAUUCGGUAAUACACUGAAUGAUGAUACCAUUGAUCUAGAUGUGAGAAUCGCAGCCAUGUGGGCUGUGAUCAGAUUCAUUCAGCGUAUGCCGAGUUCAAAUGAAAAGGAGCGCUUUCAGGAUUUGUUGCCGGAAAUGAUGAAGACGUUGACUGAUGCAUAUUUGAGCAAAGGUGAGGAGGAGGUUGCAGACGAGCAGGCCCUGAGACUUUUUAUAGAGUUGGCCAAGAAAGAGCCUAGGUUCUUUAAAAGUCAACUAUGGUCGCCAUCAUGUUUGAGAUAGCAGAGGCUGAGAGUUUGGAAGAGCGGACGAGGCACUUGGCAGUUGAAUUUUUGAUAAAUUUGGUUGAGGCGAAGAAGAGGGCCCCAGGCAUGAUUAAGAAGGUUCCCAGGUUUAUUGACAGAUGUUUCGCGAUGUUAUUGAAGUUAUUACUAGAUAAUAAGGAUGACCCUACUUGGCACAGUGCCAAAACGUAUUCUGAUGGUUCAGGAAAAACAAGGAACUACCAUGUUGGUAGGAAGUGUUUAUACCGGCUUUCUCUUGCACUAGGAGGUAAGUCUAUUGCUCAUGUUGCCAUAGAGCAACUGCCUGCUUACUCGGCUGCGCCAGAAUGAGAGAAGCGCCAUGCAGCUCUGAUUGCAGUUGUUCAUAUUGCUGAAGGCUGCUCAAAGGUGGUGACUAUUGUUCUCAAUUGUUUCCAAGAUCCUCAUCCUAGAGUUAGAUGGGCAGCUUGCUAUGCAGUUUUCCUGUUGUUGGUCUACUUCUCUCCACAUUUGCAAGAAAAAUACCAUAGCCAAGUACUUCUUGCAUUAGCUGCAGCUAUGGAUGAUUUUCAUCCACGAGUGCAGGUUUGUCCUAUGUGAUAUUACCGUCUACGGAUGCUGGAAGCAGUGGUUUAAAAGUUUUCUGACCCGCCCAAGGGCGGGGCACUAACAAAAAGUCUUGGGGCUCACGUGUGAGGCUUACGCCCUAAGUACCCGACUGUAUGUCCUAAGCACGCCUAAUGGCCAACGCUUGAGGCUUGUCUAAUAGUUCUUACACAAAUUAUGUCAAAUUCCUUUAUUAAAACUGUUGACCCUCACAAUACUUUAAUAAAUAAAUGAUGCUUAAUAGUUUUUUUUCAUCUAUUGAAAUAAAAAGAUUGAGAGUAACUCAAGUAACAAACUCUAGUAUUGCAUAUU